GCGCCACCAUGCCCAGCUAAUUUUUUGUAUUUUUAGUAGAGACGGGGUUUCACCAUAUUGACCAGGAUGGUCUUGAUCUCUUGACCUCAUGAUCCACCCACCUCGGCCUUCCAAAGUGCUGGGAUUAUAGGUGUGAGCCACCGUGCCCGGCAAUUUUUUUUUUUUUUUUUAAUUUGAGACAAAAUCUCGCUCUGUCACCAGGCUGGAGUUCAGUGGCACAAUCUCAGCUCACUGCAAUCUCCGCCUCUUAGGUUCAAGUGAUUCUCUUGCCUCAGCCUCCCGAGUAGCUGGGCUUACAGGCCCACCCCACCACAGCCAGCUAAUUUUUGUAUUUUUAAUAGAGACAGAGCUUCACCGUGUUGGCCAGGAUGGUCUCAAUGUCUUGACCUUGUGAUCCUCCCGCUUCAGCCUCCCAAAGGGUUGGGAUUACAGGCAUGAGCCACCGUGUCCGGCACUGGGGGGCAGCUUUGUGGCUCCCAGAUAGGCCCCCUAGAAGGUCCAACAAGCUGCCUUGUUCAUGGUAAGCUGUCAGCCGAUUUGUCGAACACAGCAGUCUCGACCAAAAAUACGAAGCUGAGUGUGGUGGUGUGCGGCUGUGAUGCCAGCUACUCGGGAGGCUGAGGUGGGAGGAUCGCGUGCUCCAUCUGUAAACAGCCUCUCCCACGUGACUCAUCAUACCCACCUGCCUCUGACACUCUACUCGGGGACUCCACUGUGACACACCCACAGCCAAACUCCUGGCCCCUUCUCCAGACGAGUCCAUUCCCCAGGAUCCCGCCUCAAGCCAGAGAGAGACCUUGGGGGCCUCCUUGGGGUGUCUCUCUCCCAGUCAACCAGAUUUCACCUCCUGGGGCUCCUCCAUGGGAAAGCCCUCCCUGACUCCCCCAACCAAGAUGGGGCUCUGCUUUCAGACAAGAUCAGGUGCAUCUAGGGGUGUGUGGCCAUAGUCUCUGCUCUCAAAGGAAAAAAGGUAAGCUCUUUAAGAAUACUUUCUGAGCUGUGCACGGUGGCUUAUACUUGUAAUCCUAGUACUUUGGGAGGCCAAGGGAGGAGGACUGCUUGAGCCCAAGACUUCAAGAAUAGCCUGUUCACCAGGAGGCAGAGGUUGCGGUGAGCCGAGAUCGCGCCAUUGCACUCCAGCCUGGGUAACAAGAGCGAAACCCCGUCUCAAAAAAAAAAAAAAAAAAAGCCAGUCAGGAGUUGGAGACCAGCCUGACUAAUAUGGAGAAACCCCUGUCACUACUAAAAAUGCAAAAUUAGCUGGGUGUGGUGGUGGAUGCCUGAAAUCCCAGCUACUCAGGAGGCUGAGGCAGGAGAAUCGCUUGAACCCAGGAGGUGGAGGUUUCAGUGAGCCGAGAUCGUGCCAUUGCACUGCAGCCUGGGCAACAAGGGCAAAACUCUGUCUCAAAACAAAAAAGUGCUCUUCUCGGUGUGUACUUCAUUUCACUUG
rnacentral:lncRNA from 13 species